AGUGAACGCUGGCGGUAGGCCUAACACAUGCAAGUCGAACGGCAGCACAGUAAGAGCUUGCUCUUACGGGUGGCGAGUGGCGGACGGGUGAGGAAUACAUCGGAAUCUACUUUUUCGUGGGGGAUAACGUAGGGAAACUUACGCUAAUACCGCAUACGACCUACGGGUGAAAGCAGGGGAUCUUCGGACCUUGCGCGAUUGAAUGAGCCGAUGUCGGAUUAGCUAGUUGGCGGGGUAAAGGCCCACCAAGGCGACGAUCCGUAGCUGGUCUGAGAGGAUGAUCAGCCACACUGGAACUGAGACACGGUCCAGACUCCUACGGGAGGCAGCAGUGGGGAAUAUUGGACAAUAGGCGCAAGCCUGAUCCAGCCAUACCGCGUGAGUGAAGAAGGCCUUCGGGUUGUAAAGCCCUUUUGUUGGGAAAGAAAAGCAGCAGGUUAAUACCCCGCUGUUCUGACGGUACCCAAAGAAUAAGCACCGGCUAACUUCGUG
rnacentral:rRNA from 1 species